rnacentral:rRNA from 1 species
UACGUAGGGUGCGAGCGUUGUCCGGAAUUAUUGGGCGUAAAGAGCUCGUAGGCGGUCUGUCGCGUCGGUCGUGAAAACCUGCAGCUUAACUGUGGGCGUGCGGUCGAUACGGGCAUGACUGGAGUUCGGCAGGGGAGACUGGAAUUCCUGGUGUAGCGGUGAAAUGCGCAGAUAUCAGGAGGAACACCGGUGGCGAAGGCGGGGCUCUGGGCCGAUACUGACGCUGAGGAGCGAAAGCGUGGGGAGCGAACAGG